GCAGAUUCCCCUACGGCUACCUUGUUACGACUUCACCCCAGUCAUUGACCACACCGUGGCAAGCGCCCUCCCGAAGGUUAAGCCACCUGCUUCUGGUGCCGCCAACUCCCAUGGUGUGACGGGCGGUGUGUACAAGGCCCGGGAACGUAUUCACCGCGGCAGUGCUGAUCCGCGAUUACUAGCGAUUCCGACUUCAUGGAGCCGGGUUGCAGACUCCAAUCCGGACUGCGAGCGGCUUUUUGGGAUUGGCUCCCCCUCGCGGGUUCGCAACCCUUUGUACCGCCCAUUGUAGCACGUGUGUGGCCCUGGCCGUAAGGGCCAUGAUGACUUGACGUCAUCCCCACCUUCCUCCGGUUUAUCACCGGCAGUCUCCCUAGAGUUCCCACC
rnacentral:rRNA from 1 species